GCCCGGGUAGCUCAGUUGGUUAGAGCACGCGGCUGUUAACCGCGGGGUCGAAGGUUCAAAUCCUUCCUCGGGCG
rnacentral:tRNA from 1 species